AAAGGAAUAGACGGGGGCCCGCACAAGCGGUGGAGCAUGUGGUUUAAUUCGAAGCAACGCGAAGAACCUUACCAGGUCUUGACAUCCCGCUGACCGGCCUAGAGAUAGGCUUUUCCCUUCGGGGACAGCGGUGACAGGUGGUGCAUGGUUGUCGUCAGCUCGUGUCGUGAGAUGUUGGGUUAAGUCCCGCAACGAGCGCAACCCUUGAUCUUAGUUGCCAGCAUUCAGUUGGGCACUCUAAGGUGACUGCCGGUGAUAAACCGGAGGAAGGUGGGGAUGACGUCAAAUCAUCAUGCCCCUUAUGACCUGGGCUACACACGUGCUACAAUGGACGGUACAGAGGGUCGCAACCCCGCGAGGGUGAGCAAAUCCCAUAAAACCGUUCUCAGUUCGGAUUGUAGGCUGCAACUCGCCUACAUGAAGCCGGAAUCGCUAGUAAUCGUGGAUCAGCAUGCCACGGUGAAUACGUUCCCGGGCCUUGUACACACCGCCCGU
rnacentral:rRNA from 1 species